UACGAAGGGUGCAAGCGUUACUCGGAAUUACUGGGCGUAAAGCGUGCGUAGGUGGUGAGUUAAGUCUGUCGUGAAAGCCCCGGGCUCAACCUGGGAAUGGCGAUGGAUACUGGCUCGCUAGAGUGCGGUAGAGGAGAGUGGAAUUCCCGGUGUAGCAGUGAAAUGCGUAGAGAUCCGGAGGAACACCGACGGCGCAGGCAGCGUCCUGGCCGCUUGCUGACACUGAGGCACGAAAGCUGGGGGAGCAAACAGG
rnacentral:rRNA from 1 species